rnacentral:rRNA from 1 species
CCUUUGCAAUAAGCGAAAGCUUGACAAGGUUAUUCUGAGUGAUUUCCGCUAAGGAGAUCUUUUGGCACCUCUAAAAAUGGUGCAGAAUAAGGGGUGGGCAAGCCUGGUGUCAGCCGCCGCGGUAAUACCAGCACCCCGAGUGGUCGGGACGAUUAUUGGGCCUAAAGCAUCCGUAGCCGGUUCUGCAAGUCUUCCGUUAAAUCCAUCUGCUUAACAGAUGGGCUGCAGAGGAUACUAUAGAGCUAGGAGGCGGGAGAGGCAAGCGGUACUUAGUGGGUAGGGGUAAAAUCCGUUGAUCCACUGAAGACCACCAGUGGCGAAGGCGGCUUGCCAGAACGCACUCGACGGUGAGGGAUGAAAGCUGGGGGAGCAAACCGGAUUAGAUACCCGGGUAGUCCCAGCUGUAAACGAUGCAGACUCGGUGAUGAAUAGGCUUCGUGCCUAUUCAGUGCCGCAGGGAAGCCGUUAAGUCUGCCGCCUGGGGAGUACGGUCGCAAGACUGAAACUUAA